rnacentral:rRNA from 1 species
GACGAACGCUAGCGGCGUGCUUAACACAUGCAAGUCGAACGGGCCCGCCCCUGUUUUUGGGGGUGGGUUGAGUGGCGAACGGGUGAGUAUCACGUGAGUAACCUGCCCCCUGCUCCUGGAUAACUGCUUGAAAGGGCGGCUAAUACGGGGUGUGCCGGCUGGUCCGCAUGGGCCUGGUCGGGAUAGUUUCAUCUUCGGGUGUUUCGGUGGGGGAUGGGCUCGCGGCCUAUCAGCUUGUUGGUGGGGUGAUGGCCCACCAAGGCGGUGACGGGUAGCCGGCCUGAGAGGGUGGGCGGCCACACUGGGACUGAGACACGGCCCAGACUCCUGCGGGAGGCAGCAGUGGGGGGUAUUGCACAAUGGGCGGAAGCCUGAUGCAGCGACGUCGCGUGAGGGAUGGAGGCCUUCGGGUUGUGAACCUCUUUCUCCGGUGGUGAAGGCCCUGUCCGUUGCGGCGGGGUUGACGGUAGCCGGGUAUGAAGCGCCGGCUAACUACGUG